rnacentral:tRNA from 4 species
GCGCUCGUAGCUCAACUGGAUAGAGCACUAGCUUGCGGAGCUGGGGGUUGCAGGUUCAAAUCCUGCCGGGCGCACCA